GUUAAGAAGAUGGUCCUCUCCUGAGUCUCCUCUCCUUAACUAAAAAGUCUAAACAAAUUGCUCGUAUCUCUCUCUCUCACUCUGAAGAAGUAGCGGCAGAGCUGCAGUUUCCUCCAAAGCCUAAUGGGAGGAUAACCUUAACAAUGUCACUAGAGGGAAUGUUCAACGUGGAAGAACGAGUGUGUCAGCAUCUAAUACCAGCAGGAGUGGUGGCCGCGGUAGAGGUGGUAGGGGUGGAUCACGUGCUACUACAACUGCAACUUUUGUAUCAGCCACUGGUGAUCUUGUAACAUCAUUUUACCCAAUCUAAGUGUCUCCCCAAAUCUCCUUUUAUCCCAGAUCUGAGAUUUUACAAAUUUGAGAACAGCAAUCUUGCACCUUCCUCAUCAAAAGCCAAGAAGUCGAAGAAAAUUUGCCAUGAGAAACAGAGCAGACUCAGCAGAGGUAGCGAGGGCCGUGACCGACCAAUAACGGGUUCAACCAUACCCGUUUCCGGUUUUACAAUUGAACCAACUAGUUUUCAGUUGUUUCCAGUUUUUGAGUGAUUUUCGGUUUUUAGAUAUAAUCGGACCGGAUUAAUGAUUGGUUUCCUGUUAAAUCGAUUGGACCGUCUAGUCCGGUCUGAUUUUUAAAACCAUGGUUUUACU